rnacentral:rRNA from 1 species
UACGGAGGGGGCUAGCGUUGUUCGGAAUUACUGGGCGUAAAGCGCACGUAGGCGGCUUUGUAAGUUAGAGGUGAAAGCCUGGUGCUCAACACCAGAACUGCCUUUAAGACUGCAUCGCUUGAACACGGGAGAGGUGAGUGGAAUUCCGGGUGUAGAGGUGAAAUUCGUAGAUAUUCGGAAGAACACCAGUGGCGAAGGCGGCUCACUGGACCGUUGUUGACGCUGAGGUGCGAAAGCGUGGGGAGCAAACAGG